rnacentral:rRNA from 1 species
AGAGUUUGAUCAUGGCUCAGAACGAACGCUGGCGGCGUGCUUAACACAUGCAAGUCGAACGGGGUUAUACGGAGAAAUUGGUUUCGGCUGGUGGAUUUGUAUAACUUAGUGGCGGACGGGUGAGGAACACGUAGGUAACCAAUCCUGAAGCGGGGGACAACUGCGGGAAACCGGAGCUAAUACCGCAUAAGACCACAGGCUGGAAGGCUGGUGGUAAAAGGAGCAAUUCACUUCAGGCUGGGCCUGCGGCCUAUCAGGUAGUUGGUGGGGUAAGAGCCUACCAAGCCAGAGACGGGUAGCCGGACUGAGAGGUUGAACGGCCACACUGGAACUGAGACACGGUCCAGACUCCUACGGGAGGCAGCAGUGGGGAAUUUUGCGCAAUGGGGGAAACCCUGACGCAGCGACGCCGCGUGGAGGAUGAAGGUUUUCGGAUUGUAAACUCCUUUUGUAGGGGAAAAUAGUGAUGGUACCCUACGAAUAAGCCACGGCUAACUCUGUGCCAGCAGCCGCGGUAAGACAGAGGUGGCAAGCGUUGUUCGGAAUUACUGGGCUUAAAGGGCGCGUAGGUGUCCUGGCAAGUCAGAUGUGGAAGCUUCUUGCUUAACGGGAAAAUUGCAUUUGAAACUGCCGGGAUUGAGUCAGACAGGGGAUGGCGGAAUUCCUGGUGUAGCGGUGAAAUGCGUAGAUAUCAGGAGGAAGGCCGGUGGCGAAGGCGGCCAUCUGGGUCUGUACUGACACUGAGGCGCGAAAGCGUGGGGAGCAAACAGGAUUAGAUACCCUGGUAGUCCACGCCCUAAACGGUGGGUACUAGGUGUAGGGCUCGUGAGGGUUCUGUGCCGCAGGGAAACCAUUAAGUACCCCGCCUGGGGAGUACGGCCGCAAGGUUGAAACUCAAAGGAAUUGACGGGGGCCCGCACAAGCGGUGGAGCAUGUGGGUUUAAUUCGACGCAACGCGAAGAACCCUUA